UAGGGAAUCUUCCACAAUGGACGAAAGUCUGAUGGAGCAACGCCGCGUGAGUGAAGAAGGGUUUCGGCUCGUAAAACUCUGUUGUUAAAGAAGAACAUAUCUGAGAGUAACUGUUCAGGUAUUGACGGUAUUUAACCAGAAGGCCACGGCUAAAUACGUGCCGG
rnacentral:rRNA from 1 species